rnacentral:tRNA from 1 species
UUUGUUGAUCAGGCGACACCCAGAUUCGAACUGGGGAUAAAGAAUUUGCAGUCCCCUGCCUUACCGCUUGGCCAUGUCGCC